AUUGAACGCUGGCGGCAGGCCUAACACAUGCAAGUCGAACGAGUGGCGGACGGGUGAGUAAUGUCUGGGAAACUGCCUGAUGGAGGGGGAUAACUACUGGAAACGGUAGCUAAUACCGCAUAUCAUCGGAUGUGCCCAGAUGGGAUUAGCUAGUAGGUGGGGUAAAGGCUCACCUAGGCGACGAUCCCUAGCGGGUCUGAGAGGAUGACCAGGCAAACUGGAACUGUGACACGGGCCAGACUCCGACGUGAGGCAGCGGUGGGGAAUAUUGAACCAUGGGCGCAAGCCUGAUGCAGCCAUGGCGCGUGUAUGAAGAAGGCCUGCGGGUUGUAAAGUACUUUCAGCGGGGAGGCGUUACCCGCAGAAGAAGCACCGGCUAACUCCGUGCCAGCAGCCGCGGUAAUAC
rnacentral:rRNA from 1 species